rnacentral:rRNA from 1 species
CCUACGGGUGGCAGCAGUAGGGAAUCUUCCACAAUGGACGAAAGUCUGAUGCAGCAACGCCGCGUGAGUGAAGAAGGGUUUCGGCACGUAAAGCUCUGUUGGUAGUGAAGAAAGAUAGAGGAAGUAACUGGCCUUUAUUUGACGGUAAUUACUUAGAAAGUCACGGCUAACUACGUGCCAGCAGCUGCGGUAAUACGGAGGUGGCAAGCGUGGUCCGGAUUUAUUGGGCGUAAAGCGAGUGCAGGCGGUUCAAUAAGUCUGAUGUGAAAGCCUUCGGCGCAACCGGAGAAUUGCAUCAGAAACUGGUGAACUUGAGUGCAGGAGAGGUGAGUGGAACUCCAGGUGUAGCGGUGGAAUGCGUAGAUAUAUGGAAGAACACCAGUGGCGAAGGCGGCUCUCUGGUCUGCAACUGACGCUGAGGCUCGAAAGCGUGGGUAGCGAACAGGAUUAGAUACCCUAGUAGUC